AUAUAAAUAAUGUGCUCCCCCCCUUUAAAAACUGUCUAGAUCCACCGUUGAAUGUACAAUACUCCUUACUUUUUAGAUUUUACAUAAAAAUGACGAAUUAAAAAACGUGAGCCCUCCAGAAAAAUUUUCUGAAUUCAAUACUGCAUUCAACAUUUUAAAAGACAUCCAAAAACGUGCAUGCGAAAAAAUUAAGGUGAACCACUUUGGACCGAAUCAGUAUAAAUCCAUUAAUAAUAUUAUAAGGCUAACAAUAUUAAAUAAUGUAAAUUAAUUUUUUAAAUUUUAAUUUGUUUAAAUUAGGUAUAUUAUACCCAGAGAUGAGCAAAUCAAUUUCAAUUCGAUUUAUCGAUAGCCGAUACUUUCGAAAUGAAAAUAUCGACAUUCAAUUAUAAAAUUUAAAACAAAUUUCAAAAAGUGAGGAUUUUCGUAAAAUGUUUCAAAUGAAGUACUACCAGUCUGAAAAUUCGAAUUUUUUGAGGUUUUGAAUGAAAGAAUCGAACCGUGUUUCUAACAGGAAUAGUGAUUUCUGUGAAAAAAAAAUUGGAAUUUUUUUUAUUCUUUACAUACGAGUAGAUACUAUUAUAUAUUGAUAUUAAUACUAUAAUGCGUUUCAUAACAACUGUGACCUGACACUAAUGCGCUUUGGCUGCAAACGAGUUAUGUCCCAAGUACGGAAUUGUGUCCCUGAAAUGUUUUUGGGUUACACGAGUUGUGUCCCGUCAUUUUUUUCACAAUACAUGAGUAGUGUCCACCAUCCAAUCAUUUUUUUUUUUUAAUACGCGAGUUGUGUAUCAUAGUAUACAAAUAAUGGUAAAUAACUACUUUACUGCAAAGUGUUUACGAUUCACCCCUACAAAUACUUUUUGUGUAUGUUUGAUAAUCAGUUAAAAUAGCUAGGUUUAAUAAAAAUGAAAUUUAUAACAUUUUUUAUUUUAGAUUCUGAAGAGGAAUCUAUUGGUUUUACAAUAAUUUUUUUUGUCUUUUGUGAAAGGGUCCUUUUUCUGAAAGGAAAUCUAAUCUUUUUGCUUUUCCCAAGAGUUUUCUCGAUAGAUAGAAAAAAUCAUGAUGGGGAAAAACCUGGAAAAAACGUAAGAAAAAUGGGAAAAUAGGUACAAUAUUAAACGAAUAUUAUUAAAGAAAAUAUAUAAUGCAUACUUGUAUGUAAUUAUUUUAACAUAAUAUAGCAUAUAUAUUGUUUACAAAUUAACACUAUUAACCAAACUCCACUCAGAAUCGUUAUUUUCGUUAGAAAUAGUUGAUCUUUACGUUACGUGCAGAUAUACGUUAAAUUUACCCUCUACCUUCCCAUAUACUUACCUACAACAAAUAGUGGCCCACCCACGUGCAAGUAUGUCCGUCUUUUUUAAAAUACGUUCUAAAUUUUGGUGCGUUUAGAAAUGCAUUACAAUUGCAAAGGAAUUUUCCAAAAACUGCUUAUAUGUUAUUCGCAAACUUAUGUACAUAUAGUAGGUAGUGCAAGUGUGUAUUUUAAAUCCAAUAAUAAAUUAUUGAAAAUUGUUUUUCAAACGCAGUUUUGUACGAAACUCGGAACGCAAUAAUAAUUCAAAAUUUCAAAACGUUCGUUCGCAUGAUAUUAUUUUGUUCUCGUAGUUUUCUUUAAAGUAUUAAAGUACCAUCUGCGUUCAAUUACUAUUACUAAC